UCCAUACCAUGACCUUGUCAGGAAAUAAAAUCUAUCAUAACGUGGAAUGCUGACUCACCUUUUUCUCAUUCUAAUUUAAUCCUUAUUCUUUCGCCAUUAUCUUGACAUUGAAUUUUUCCCCAAUCGCUCUAUCAAGACAGGGAAUACGAGGCGGUGUGGCCGGUCGACAGGGGAUGCUCAGUCCUCCACGGUACCUGAUCCCAUCUCUGAUGUUAAGCUGUCGGAGUUUGCUCUGUUUCUAAUUUGUAUACUUUCAGUGGAAUUUUGAUUUUUAUUUUACCAUUCGUUAUCUCCAUAUUUCGUCUGAAUUUUGACCAAUCAUAUCAACUUCUUUGGAUCAAAUCUCGGUUCACUUUUUUUGUCUUUACGAGCACGUGAACUAAUUUCAAGUUUAUUUAAAAAAAUAUGUAUAGCUACAUCAUCACACAAUUAAAGAAAGAAGGAGAGAGAGGGAGAAAGACACAGAAAGAGAGAGGGGGAGAGGGAAGAGAGAGAAGCAUGUAUACAUGCUGAUAUGCUUUCUAAAGAAAAAGAUUAUUUUGGUAAAGGAAUUGUGUCAGACACGUAACAUUACGAAUCUCUCAUGAAUUUGUCCUUCAAGAUAAAAUCCCUGGACAACGUGCAAACCACACGAAAGAAGUUUAAAUCUAUGAUGUAAGCAUGAAUACAACAUUACUUACAUUCCUCUGCAUUUGUUUUUAUGAUUAUGGUCUAUCUACACCUGAACCUUGUAUCGAUAUAAGUCCCGAGGAUUGUUCAGAUGAGUUCGCCCUCCAAAAUAUCUGUAGCGACCCCGAAACGGCCAUCUUUUGUAAGAAGUCUUGCGGACUC